rnacentral:siRNA from 1 species
UACUCAGUCCUGACCAAACCGCCU